rnacentral:tRNA from 1 species
GGGGCGUAAGUACGGAUACUUCGUUAGUGCGCUACAUUCGCAUUGUAGAGGUCAGGGGUUCGACUCCCCUAUGCUCCA